rnacentral:rRNA from 1 species
UACGAAGGGGGCUAGCGUUGCUCGGAAUCACUGGGCGUAAAGCGCACGUAGGCGGACUCUUAAGUCAGGGGUGAAAUCCUGGAGCUCAACUCCAGAACUGCCUUUGAUACUGGGAGUCUUGAGUUCGGGAGAGGUGAGUGGAACUGCGAGUGUAGAGGUGAAAUUCGUAGAUAUUCGCAAGAACACCAGUGGCGAAGGCGACUCACUGGCCCGAUACUGACGCUGAGGCGCGAAAGCGUGGGGAGCAAACAGG